GAUGAACGCUGGCGGCGUGCCUAAUACAUGCAAGUCGAGCGAACAGAUAAGGAGCUUGCUCCUUUGACGUUAGCGGCGGACGGGUGAGUAACACGUGGGUAACCUACCUAUAAGACUGGGAUAACUUCGGGAAACCGGAGCUAAUACCGGAUAAUAUUUCGAACCGCAUGGUUCGAUAGUGAAAGAUGGCCCUGCUAUCACUUAUAGAUGGACCUGCGCCGUAUUAGCUAGUUGGUAAGGUAACGGCUUACCAAGGCAACGAUACGUAGCCGACCUGAGAGGGUGAUCGGCCACACUGGAACUGAGACACGGUCCAGACUCCUACGGGAGGCAGCAGUAGGGAAUCUUCCGCAAUGGGCGAAAGCCUGACGGAGCAACGCCGCGUGAGUGAUGAAGGUCUUCGGAUCGUAAAACUCUGUUAUUAGGGAAGAGCAAACGUGUAAGUAACUGUGCACGUCUUGACGGUACCUAAUCAGAAAGCCACGGCUAACUACGUGCCAGCAGCCGCGGUAAUACGUAGGCGGCAAGCGUUAUCCGGAAUUAUUGGGCGUAAAGCGCGCGUAGGCGGUUUUUUAAGUCUGAUGUGAAAGCCCACGGCUCAACCGUGGAGGGUCAUUGGAAACUGGGAAACUUGAGUGCAGAAGAGGAAAGUGGAAUUCCAUGUGUAGCGGUGAAAUGCGCAGAGAUAUGGAGGAACACCAGUGGCGAAGGCGACUUUCUGGUCUGUAACUGACGCUGAUGUGCGAAAGCGUGGGGAUCAAACAGGAUUAGGUACCCUGGUAGUCCACGCCGUAAACGAUGAGUGUUAAGUGUUAGGGGGUUUCCGCCCCUUAGUGCUGCAGCUAACGCAUUAAGCACUCCGCCUGGGGAGUACGACCGCAAGGUUGAAACUCAAAGGAAUUGACGGGGACCCGCACAAGCGGUGGAGCAUGUGGUUUAAUUCGAAGCAACGCGAAGAACCUUACCAAAUCUUGACAUCCUUUGACCCUUCUAGAGAUAGAAGUUUCCCCUUCGGGGGACAAAGUGACAGGUGGUGCAUGGUUGUCGUCAGCUCGUGUCGCGAGAUGUUGGGUUAAGUCCCGCAACGAGCGCAACCCUUAAGCUUAGUUGCCAUCAUUAAGUUGGGCACUCUAAGUUGACUGCCGGUGACAAACCGGAGGAAGGUGGGGAUGACGUCAAAUCAUCAUGCCCCUUAUGAUUUGGGCUACACACGUGCUACAAUGGACAAUACAAAGGGCAGCGAAACCGCGAGGUCAAGCAAAUCCCAUAAAGUUGUUCUCAGUUCGGAUUGUAGUCUGCAACUCGACUACAUGAAGCUGGAAUCGCUAGUAAUCGUAGAUCAGCAUGCUACGGUGAAUACGUUCCCGGGUCUUGUACACACCGCCCGUCACACCACGAGAGUUUGUAACACCCGAAGCCGGUGGAGUAACCAUUUGGAGCUAGCCGUCGAAGGUGGGACAAAUGAUUGGGGUGAAGUCGUAACAAGGUAGCCGUAUCGGAAGG
rnacentral:rRNA from 1 species